rnacentral:misc_RNA from 1 species
AAAGAGAAAAGAAGAGAAAAGAAAAGAAAAGAAAAGUAAAGACAGAUUAUUAAUAUAAUUGGUCUGGGUGGUUCUGCUUGGUUUUCAUAGUUCAAAACUGAACCUGACCUGAAUAUUCAGGUUACGCCUGUUGUCAAACUGCAACCAACCUGCAAGAAAUUGGAACCUACUACUUUUGGGUGAUAUUGGAGCUGUGUCAUAGGAUUCAAUUAGUAGACUGGGUUUAUGGAUAGCCCUAGUCUUUGAAAGUUGAUCUUUAUACACAUAAGAAUUUUUGUCUAGCAAGUGAACAAUAAUGUAAAGGGCAAGCUAAAUCUUGGUAAGCUAAAAUUGGUGAAGGUUUGAAAAUGAAGUUCAUUACACAGCUUAAAUCUAAUAAAAAACCUGUGUAAGCGUGCCUUCUUGUGCACACACGUAUUACAUGUGAUAGAGAGCCUUUUCCAGAAUUCUAAUGUAAACAAGAGGCUCGUAAGGUUGGUAUUCCUAAUGAAGUGUAAAAUUGGGUUUAGUUACUUGUGGAAAAUGGAAUACUUGAUAUAUUUCCUUAUCUAAAUCUUUGCACAUCAAUAAUUUGUUAGUUGAACUUGUUUCAUAUUUUUUUUAAUUAAAAUGGGCAGUUCAUGGAUCGCUACCGGGGGAA